GAUGAACGCUGGCGGCGUGCCUAAUACAUGCAAGUCGAGCGGGGGACGGGUGAGUAACACGUGGAUAACCUCCCCAUCAGAGGGGAUAACCUUUGGAAACAGGUGCUAAACCGAUCCUGAUGGAUGAAGCAUCGGUGCAUUAGCUAGUUGGUGGGGUAACGGCUCACCAAGGCCACGAUGCAUAGACGACCUGAGAGGGUGACCGGCCACACUGGGACUGAGACACGGCCCAGACUCCUACGGGAGGCAGCAGUAGGGAAUCUUCGGCAAUGGACGAAAGUCUGACCGAGCAACGCCGCGUGAGUGAAGAAGGUUUUCGGAGCGUAAAACUCUGUUGUUAGAGAAGCGGUAUCUACCCAGAAAGCCACGGCUAACUACGUGCCAGCAGCCGCGGUAAUUC
rnacentral:rRNA from 1 species